AGAAUUUAUUAUACUAAAUUCUAGAGUAAGUUAAAUCAACAAACUGAAAAUAAAAAUGUCCAUGGACAUCAAUUAAUUGAAACAAUAAAAACAACUGUUACUCAAUAUAAACAAUAAAAGGAGAUGACUCCAUUAUAUGAACAAGAGGAACACAGUCCGUUAAAAAAUAUUGCUCGUAAAUUUUAAAUAAAGAAAGGAACAAUGUCUAAGUCAGAGAUACCGACUUCAUAUAUGGAAUAAGUCAAGCGAGAUCUAAUGAGGAAUCUCGAUCAAGGAUGUCCUUUAGAUAUGUCCAUAUCAUUCGCAGGUCAUACUACGGAAAAUGAAAGAGACUGCUUAGCUGGAAAAUUUCAAAACAUCCGGAGUGAUGAAGAACUAGAUCUGGAUGAAUACUUAAAGCGGUUCUAGGAUACACUGGAAGAAUCCUCCACGUCUGCAAAAGGCAAAGAGAAAAAUAAAAUAAUUGAAGACCCCGCUGCUAAUACCAUUAUUAGGGGACAUAGCUUGAUGGCAAACAACUUUUAUAAAGCGCACAGUAGAGGCCACUGACUUUUAUAACAGUAAAGGCCAUAUAUAAGUAGUAAAGGCCAAUGUAAGCAGUAAAGACCAAUAAUUUUCUUUUGUUGUUUUCUUAGAGCAUCCGUUAUAUAAGGAUGCCCAAAUUUAUUUUGAGGGACAGGUUUUCAGAACCCCCACUCUCUUUACUACUCUCUCUCUACUCUCUUGUAAUAUUUUUUUGAUUUGAAAUAAAGCUUUGAUCCUGAGCACAACCAUCCAUUAUAAAGGUAUUUAAAUUUUUGUAAUUUUAAAAUUUUUAUUUUUAUUCUAUUUAUCAUAGCCUAAUGAUAGGUUAAAUACUUAGUGUUGAUAGUGUUUAUCAUAGUCUAAUGAUAGGCUAAAUACUUAGUAGUAGUAGUAGUAAUAGUAAGAGAAAAAAAUAUAAUAAUAAUAAUAAUAAUAUAUAAUUACUUAUAAAUGAAGGAUUGGUGUACAACACAAAAAGACAAAAUAGUAGUACAUCCAUUCUUCAUUUAUAUAUAAGAAUAAUUAUUAUUAUUAUUACUAUUAUUACUUUACUUUACUAGUACUAUAUAUAAGUGAAGGUUGGGGUGGCUACCAAAGCUAGUUCGGUAAUUUUAGUCAUCACAACCUUUACUUAUAUAUAGUAGUAAAUAAAAUGAUUACAUAUGUAUAUAGUUUUUUUCUUAUAUUUAUUAGUUUUGUCCUCAUUUUUAUUGUGCAAUAAAAUGGUUACACGUGCAUAUUGCUUUUUCCUUAUACGUAUUUGUUUUGUCCUCGUAUAUUAUUUUAAUAAUAUUUUUAUUUAGAUCUUUGUAAUUGAAUUAUACAUGAUACUUUUUUUAUAAAUAUCUUUUUGUUCCUUAUUAAAUGACUACCAAGGGUAUUUCAAUACUUUUAUGGUUCAAUAAAAUAGUUACACAUGCAUAUUGCUUUUUCCUUAUAUUUAUUAAUUUUGUCCUCAUUUUUAUGGUGCAAUAAAAUGAUUACACAUGUCUUUUGAUUUUUUCUUAUAUUUAUUAGUUUUGAUCUCAUGUAUUAUUUUAGUAAUAUUUUUAUUUAGACCUUUGUGAGCCUAAACAAACACUUUUUUAACCCAAAAUACCAAAAAGGCCACUCCUUUUUUAAACUAACCAAAUCGGACAAAUCACUCAUCAUUGAACGAUUUACCAUUGUCCGAAAUGGCCCACUAACGUGUUUUAGGCCAGCUACAUUGCAAAGUCCUGUCAAAUGGUCUACUCUUCUAUUUUUAUUUUUUUAGUUUGAUGUCCACAAAAUUGACCCACUCUUCUAUUUUUAUUUAUUUUUUAUUUGAUGUUCGAUAUUUAUAUUAGAGUCCAACAAAAUAAUUAUAUUGAAUCAUUUGUAAAAAUUAAAUAAUUGCUCUAUCCAUUUCAAAAAGAAUGAUUUAUUUUUUUUUAGUCCGUUUCAAAUAAAAUAAUCCUUUCCUUUUUUGACAAUAUAAUUUCAACAUUUCACAUGACAUAUUUAAGACCACAAGAUUAAAGACCAUUUUUAUACAUUUGACACAACUUUAAUUCAAGGUCAUAAGAUUUAAAAGUCUUCUUUAUUUUCUGAAAUUUUGUGUCAAGUCAAAGUAGAUCAUUCUUUUUAAAACAAAGAAAGUACCUUUUUUUAAGAAAAAAAAUAACGAUGUAGCUUUUGUAGCUCUAUAUAAGCUUCAUCGUCUUCUCAUUUUAUCAAAGUUAUUUCUUUUAUUUUUUAUUGUAUUCACACUAAUCAAAAUGAAUGAAACUAGAAUUAAAGUUUUAUUAAAAAAAAGAAUUGCCCGGUGCACUAAAGCUAUCCCUACGUGCGGUAUCCGGGGAAGGGUGCCACCGCAAGCGUGUAUCGUACGCAGCCUUACCUUGCAUUACUGCCAGAGGCUGUUUCCAAGGCUUGAACCCAUGACCUCCUGGUCACAUGGUAGCAAAAUUAAAGUUUUAUUGUAAGAGUAAAAUUUCUAUAUAUUGGGGUGGUAAGGUUUUAUAUGAAGUCAGUUAUGUAAGAUAUAGUUAACGACAUGUAGUGGUGCAAGUGUUCCAUUAUUUUUCAAAUAUGAGAGGUUGCAAUGCUUGUUAAAGAAUAAAAUGGGUAUAUUCCUGAAGGUUUAGUGGUUAUCAAUGGACGAUACCCAACGUCCUUUUUAGCCAGUGGGAUUGUAGCUUACAAUGAGACUUGUAUUUGGAUUGAUGAUUUUGUGUCUUUAUUUUUCGUAUUAUUAAAAUUUUUGACAUUAAAAUUAUCCGAAAAUAUCGUAUCAUUAAUAGGUCCAACCUAAGUUUGUGUUGCACCUUAACUUCUAGGAAUCGUUAGUAAUAUGAUCAGGAAAAUGUGCCACAUAAUAUAAGACGGAGGAACUAUUUCACAUAAUUUAAGACGGAGGGACUAUUUCACAUAAUUUCACCUUAAUAGUAUUUGGCCUGACAAUGCAAAUGAUUAAAUCGCACAAAGUUGAGUGUUUUGUCCGAAUUGGUUAAUUUGAAAAAGAAGUGGCGCCUUUGGUAUUUUGGCUUUAAAAAGUAACCGUUUAGGCUUCGGACUCAGACCUUUGUAAUUUAAUUAUACAUGAUACUAUUUUUGUAUAAAUAUCUUUUUGUUUCUUAUUAAAUAACUACCAAUAGGCCUAAUUAGUUUUGUCCUCAUGUAUUAUUUUACUAAUAUUUUUAUUUAGACCUUUGUAAUUCAAUUAUACAUGGUACUAUUUUUAUAUAAAUAUCUUUUUGUUCCUUAUUAAAAACUUACAAAGGAUAUUUCGAUAAUUUUAUGGUGCAAUAAUGUUAGGUUUUUUGCCCUGAUUUUCUUACCAAAAUUAAGUUUUACUUUUUCUUUGUAAGGAAAAUAAAAGUAACCAUAAAUACUUUUACUUUUCCUAAAAGGAAAAUAUAAAACUCUUUCAUAUUUGACAAACCUCUUUCUUGGAGAAAAGGUUUUGGACAUCUAUAAAUAGAAGACCCCCUUCUCAUGUCAUAACACAAUUGCAUCCACGAUAUAGUCUUUAAAGANNNNNNNNNNNNNNNNNNNNNNNNNNNNNNNNNNNNNNNNNNNNNNNNNNNNNNNNNNNNNNNNNNNNNNNNNNNNNNNNNNNNNNNNNNNNNNNNNNNNNNNNNNNNNNNNNNNNNNNNNNNNNNNNNNNNNNNNNNNNNNNNNNNNNNNNNNNNNNNNNNNNNNNNNNNNNNNNNNNNNNNNNNNNNNNNNNNNNNNNNNNNNNNNNNNNNNNNNNNNNNNNNNNNNNNNNNNNNNNNNNNNNNNNNNNNNNNNNNNNNNNNNNNNNNNNNNNNNNNNNNNNNNNNNNNNNNNNNNNNNNNNNNNNNNNNNNNNNNNNNNNNNNNNNNNNNNNNNNNNNNNNNNNNNNNNNNNNNNNNNNNNNNNNNNNNNNNNNNNNNNNNNNNNNNNNNNNNNNNNNNNNNNNNNNNNNNNNNNNNNNNNNNNNNNNNNNNNNNNNNNNNNNNNNNNNNNNNNNNNNNNNNNNNNNNNNNNNNNNNNNNNNNNNNNNNNNNNNNNNNNNNNNNNNNNNNNNNNNNNNNNNNNNNNNNNNNNNNNNNNNNNNNNNNNNNNNNNNNNNNNNNNNNNNNNNNNNNNNNNNNNNNNNNNNNNNNNNNNNNNNNNNNNNNNNNNNNNNNNNNNNNNNNNNNNNNNNNNNNNNNNNNNNNNNNNNNNNNNNNNNNNNNNNNNNNNNNNNNNNNNNNNNNNNNNNNNNNNNNNNNNNNNNNNNNNNNNNNNNNNNNNNNNNNNNNNNNNNNNNNNNNNNNNNNNNNNNNNNNNNNNNNNNNNNNNNNNNNNNNNNNNNNNNNNNNNNNNNNNNNNNNNNNNNNNNNNNNNNNNNNNNNNNNNNNNNNNNNNNNNNNNNNNNNNNNNNNNNNNNNNNAGGGGGAGAUUUCUCCCAAUAAGUUUUAGGAGUUUUAAUUUUAUUUUUAAUAUGUAGGCCGUUUGGCCAAACCAUAUCCAAUAAUAUAUUUUUAGUUUAAUUUUUCAUGUGUUGUCUGAUUUAUUGUCUUAUGGUUUGCAAACUAAAAACUUCCGCAUGACGCCUUCUCGAUUUCGAACCCAACAAUAAAAUGGUUGACAUGCAUAUUGCUUUUUCUUUAUAUUUAUUAGUUUGGUCCUCAUUUUUAUGGUGCAAUAAAAUGAUUAUACAUGGGUAUUGUUGUUUUUCUUAUAUUUAUUAGUUUUGUCCUCAUGUAUUAUUUUACUAAUAUUUUUAUUUAGACCGUUGUAAUUGAAUUAUACAUGAUAGUAAUUUUUUAUAAAUAUAUUUUGGUUCCUUACUUGUUUUUUAUACCCCAAGGGUAUUUUGAUAAUUUUUUGGUGCAAUAAAAUGGUUACACAUGCAUAUUAUUUUUUCUUAUAUUUAUUAGUUUUGUCCUUAUUUUUAUAAUGAAAUAAAAUGGUUAGACAUGCAGUUUGAUUUUUUCUUAUAGUUAUUUUAGCUUUUUCCUCAUGUAUUAUUUUAAUAAUAUUUUUAUUUAGACCUUUGUAAUUGAAUUAUACAUGAUAGUAAUUUUCUUAUAAAUAUCUUUUUGUUUCUUAUUAAAUGACUACCAAGGGUAUUUUGGUAAUUUUAUUAUGCAAUAAAUAUUUCAAAAUCGAUGUAUGUCUCCUCAACUCAUAUAUUUGAAACUUUCAAAUGAGACGUGCAUUAUGUACUUUUCUAGGAAUGUCUAAAUGAAAGACGUGCCGUCAACUGUAGUUAAAACAAUCUAACUAGAUUUUUAUUGACUUAUAUAAUUACUUUUGUAUUGAUUGGACCAGUUUAUUAAGCUCAAUUUUGUUCCAUACUGAAUGUAUAUAUUAUAUUAAUAUUGGUUCAUUGUACUACAUUUCUUUUUUUUACUCCUAUAUUAAAUGAUUUAAACAAUUAGAAAAUAAUCUUUCCCAAAGUUGAAUCUCUUUUGUACAUUAGUGUUGCCAAAAUGUCUGUGCCUUGCACAGGCAUGAGUAUCUAGUUUAUAAGACGUAAGAACUCCAUAGAUUUAGUGGGUGUUUGGCCACGAAAACUAAAAUUUUUAAAGUUGAAGUUGGAGUUAGAGUUGAAGUUGGAAUUGAAGUUGGAGUUGGAGUUGAGCUUGUCCAUGAAUAUAAUUAGAGUUGUUUUUGAAUUUUUGUGAGAGAAAUAAGAUCGGAAAAAGUGAAAACAACUUUUUGUUAUUUUUCACUUUUACAAAUACAAUUUCAAGUUGUGUUUGAAAUUCUCAUGGCCAAAAAUCACUUGAAGUUGAAUAUGACAUAAAGUGAUUUUUUUUUCCGAAAAACUGAAAAAAAAUCAUGGCCAAACGAGCCCUUAGUACUUUAAACUUUACUAAAACUCUACUUCUUAAAAUAUUUCCUUAGUACUUGCAAAGUUAUAAAAAUUUUGUUUCUUAAAUCUUUUCUAUGAAAUGUAUUAAAAGUUCUAGUCUAUAGUAUAAGAAUUAAACCAAAGAUAUGAAAACAUGUACUCAUAGUUCAAAUAAUUAAACAAAACUUUCUUUUACGUGUAGAACUAAAAAAACAGAUUAUAUUUAGUCUUUAACAUUUAAUUUAAAGUCGUUAAUAUUAGAAUUUUUAUUUUAAAAUUCUAUACUAAGAUAAUGACAUAUUUGGAUACACUAUUAAUUUAUAUUUAUAUAAUUUAGAUAGAUAUAAUAUUUAUUCUAACAUUAAUUAUCAUUUUCUAAUAAUUUUAUUUUUAUAUAUAAUUUUAUUGAUGCACUUACCCUAAAAAUACUAUACAAAAAUGAAUAAAGUCUAUUCUUUAAACACUUCUCUUAUCCCAAGGGAAAAUAAGUUUCUCAAUUAGUGAGGGUCAUUAAGUUUUAAAAAUUAAAUAAUAAGAGAUAAUUUUUUUUAAAAUAUUUUUGCUCCAACAAUUAAAGAGGUUGUCUCAACAAUUAUAGAAAUUGUCUCAUUAACUAUCAGAAUUAUUCGACAAUUAUAAAAAUUAUUCAACAAUUUUACAAAGAUGUUCGAUAACUAUACAAAAUUAUUGAAUAAUUUUAAUAAUUAUUAAGACAAUUAAUAUAAUUAUUGAAUAAUUUUUUUUAAUUAUUUAAGCGACUAUAUUUCUUUUAAUAUUGUGUUGUCCCUUUUAUUUAAUUAAAUAUUUGAAACUUGAGAGGGUCGAGCUCAUUUUUCUCAAAGCAAAGCGACUGUGGCCAUCCUUGUAAUUUCCUGCUCAAGAGUUACCAGAAUACCAUUCGGCAGAGGUGGAGAUAUGGAAAUAGGGAAGGUGAUAGUGGAGAAAGUAAGAGGAAAAGCAACGGUUACUAAGUGCUUUUCAAAGUAUCCCCUCAAAUUCAUCAUCCCCAGAAAGGUCUGAUCAAUCUAUAUAUCAUCUCCUCCCAGCUUCUUUUCUUUUCUUUCUUAUGAAAGUGAUAAUGUGUCUCUCAAUAUUGAUAGGUGGGUUCUUCUAAAACUGAUGCUGUUUGGAUUUACACCAUCACUUAUGGUGGUGGAAUUGUCUCUGUAGGUCAAUUUGUCGGAUUGUAAUUUUGUUUUAGGAAAUUAUCCCUUAAUUCAAUGUGUAUGAUUAAACCUAAUGUAAUUUUUAUGUUUUCUUCCAGGGGGAUUCUAUAACAUGUGAUAUUACAAUAGGAGAUGGUUGCACCGCUGUUUUGGCCACUCAAGCUUCUACUAAGGUUAAACUUUUUGCAAGUUUCAUUAUUUGCAAAUAAAUGUAUUCAUGUAUAUAAAUAAAUGUUCAUAUCUGUGUGGCCUUUUUAACUUGUUUCAUGUUCUAAUAACACAUUAAUAUUUCUGUUGCAGGUGUACAAAGCUGUGGGAUCAAAAAAUUCCGAACAAGUGUUGGAGGUAAUGCCAUUCUAACAAAAUUAUAUUCUUCUUCUUAAUGCAUUUGGAUGGAUUCCAAAAGGUCCUUGCAUAGGGUUACAAAUUCUAAAAGAAAUUGAUGCAUACAAAAAGAAAAAAAUUGGUUUAGUAACCAAGUUAUUGUAUUGAAUUUGAUGAUGCAGAAAAAGUAAAGAAAUGCUGGAUUUUAGGGAGAUAUCCUAAGGAGAAGAAGUAAAAGGAAAAGAAAUGGAAAUUGAGAACCUGAAAUCGGUGUCAAAAUGGUUGAGGAGGAAUUCUGUGUAAGUGGCGUCCUUGGUUUUGAAAUAGUUUGCAUUAGUUAUUAUAGGGAACUAGCAAUCAAAAGGAUGUGUAGAAUUAUGAGCUAACCUGCUUUAAAAUGUUAAUGUACUUUUAUGUAUUUUAAGAAGUUGAUAUGGUUAACUUCUCCAGACCCCACUUAUGAGAUUAUAGAUUGAGUAUAUUGUUAUAUAUUCAACUUCUGAAAGGAAGACAUAAAAUAAGGAUACAUAACAGCUUCCACAUCUGGAUACAGCCGUAACAAAAGAUACUACGGUGUGACUCAUUGGAUCUAAAAUUUAGAAUAUGUAUCUGCCUGAAAUUUGUCAAUACAGUUCCAAUUUAUUUAAGCACAAAAAUUUACAGUCAAAGAUGUAAUUUUUGGUAAACGGAUGAUGAGGUUUGUUGGACAAACGGUAGUAAGUUCAUCAUCACCUUUUUUUUUUUUUUUUUUUUUUUUUUUUCUGUUUUGCCACCUUUUGAACUAUCUCAUUUGAUCCCUAGCUAGCCGUGUUAGUAAAAAUGGCUUUUUAUGCCGUGCAGUAGGCAAGAAUAGGGAGCAAUGCCUUUUUGGCUGUAAUUCCAGAUCCAGUGACCUGUUUCUCCACUGCAAAAUAUUCUCAGAAGCAAGUGUUCAAAGUUAUGUCCGACUCAAGUUUGCUUCUUGUUGAUUGGGUAACUAGUGGCCGUCAUGAAAGAGGAGAAAAAUGGGAUUUUGAUCUUUAUAGGAGCACGAAUCACAUCUUUCAUAAUGGUGAUGAGCCUUUAUUUCUUGAUACAGUAAGUUUCUUCGCUUAUCUAUCUGUUUGUUAUUUAAUGUGUAAAAAGUAGAAUAUAUACUACUUUUUUUUUUCAAUCUCGAAAAAAGUUGUAUGUAUUCAUUUUUAAAGUACAAUAGAUCAUCUGUUUCUGAUACAAUCCAAAUUGCCUCCGGAUCUUGGAUGGGAUACUUAUGGUGCUAGAGGUUCUUAAAGACAUCUUAUUUUCAUUACAAGAGUGUCAUAUGAUGGUGUUUUCACCUACAUUUGAUCAAGGGUCCUUGGAGGAGUAGAGGGAAUGCGAGAAUGGGAUAAAAGGCCUCUUUGAAAGGACAUGGGCCCAAUCUGCCUUGGAGGUGUGCCAGACCUACUAAUCAAGAGCAGGUCAAAACAGUUUCAUCCGCUCUAGAAAUGCCUUUGACAUGCUCCAUAUCUGCUCUAAAGAUGCUAGAGCGGGUUGCCUUGUUUUAUUAAAACAAAUGGGUCACUUUUGGGCCCAUUGUAAUAAGUUAACCCUAGACUAUAAAUAGAAUAACUUAGGUCUUUAUUUCCGAACUUUUGUUCUGGUAAUGAAGAUAUAAAAACUCUUGAGAGAGUGAGUGAUAGCUUGGAAAAAUAUUUGUUGGGUCUUGUUUAGAAAUGGUGGUUGUAAGGGCGUUUCGAUUCCCUUGCGGUCAACAUAAGAGAUUAUGUGUUUGUAGAUAAUUGAUUUGGGUUUUUUGAGUUUAAUAUACUCACUAGUUUCAUUUCUUUCUAUCUUCUUGUGUCAAUCUAUCUAUCUUUAUCAUCUAUCCUUUUAUCCGUUUCAUUCCAUAUUUCAAUUUCAUCGUUUCUUUCGUUUUUGCGUUUGUUUCUAGUUUUCGUGGUUUGAUCCUUAUCAUUUGGUAUCAGAGCCGAGCUUGAUUUCGUUCCCACAAAGUCAAUCUUGGGUCUAGUUGUCUUGAAAAAUCGAAAAUCAGAAAAAAAAAUUACUCUUCACAUUUUUUAGGUUUAGGUCAAAUUUUGAGUUUUUGAUUUUGGUAUUUUCUCGAGUUUCUAGUGUUAGAUUCUUGUUCCCUAACACUAUUAGAGUCUAAAUAUCGAAUUUGAGCUUAAUCGGAGCUAUAUUGAAGAUUCUACCCUUGAUGAAAGCUUGAGUUUGAAGAAAAGGAAAGUGGGUUGAAAAUUCUAGAAAUUUUGGUGAAGAAUUUGAGCUUAAUAAUGUUUGGAAUGUGUUUAGAAGGUUAAAAAGUGCUUGAAUUCAAAAUUUUAACGCAUUCCGAGCUAAGGUGAAGAUGUUGAAAAUUUUUGUGUUCUCGGAGAAAUUCAAAUAUUCAAGAUGAAUUUUCAGCAAAAAGUGGGUGUUUGAUCCAAAAAGGAGAAAGAAAAGUGUACAAAAAGUGUUAGUACAAAACAAUUCAAGGGUCCCAAGAAUAUUCCAAGAGAAGUGGACAAAGGGGGACCACAACAAGUACAUUUCGGCACCUUGUGCAAGCUGGCCGGCUGAUAUGCGUUUGAUUUGCCUUAGAGGUGCUUUUGGGCUGCUUUUGACCUACUAGAGCUGGUCAAACCAGUGCCUUAUGCGCCUGGUCUGCCCCUGCGCCUGGUCUGCCCCUGAGAUUCACUGGACCUGCUCAAGUAGGUCAAAACAACCCCUCUUGCACUGGGCAUGCGUUUGGGGUGCUCCCAAGCUGUUUUGGUAGAUCUAAAACACAAUUCAAAGCUUCUUAAUUCCUUUUUUGCUCAGGUUUGAUUCAUCUAGUUUCACUUCUUGAUUCUUAAAUUCAUAUCUUGAUUCUUAAAUUACUCAACAACUAAUAAUUCACCCACUAAGUUGUUGAUUAGUGUUUGAGUUCGUUUCUUUCUUUGUCCUAUUUCUUUUGAGCUUUUCUGGUUUUUAAUUAGUUGUAGCUUCUUGACUCAAGUCCGUACAUAUUUUCUUUGAGUCAUUCAAACAAGAAUUCACUCCGGCCACAAGUAGAACAUGACACCUUAUCUACCACCGGAGUAUAAACAACUUUCAACAUUCGUCAAUCCUCUUGUGAGGUCUACAAAGGUGAGAUUCUUACGAGUGUUGGUGAGGAGCUUUUACUACUAAUCUUGUUUGUUUAUUUUGUAGGUACAAGGAGUUAUAAGGAAGUAUGUCUUCGGUAGCCUCGGAUGAUUGUGACUACGACAUAGGGGACUAUGAUUGUGGUGAAGAAUAUUAUGGCUAUGAUGAAGAUGGAGAUUAUGGGGGCUAUGAAUAUAAUCAUGAUCAAGAAUUGUGUGAGAAUGAGGGCUACUAUUUCAAAGGAGAAUAUGAGAUGCAUGGUGAUUCUAGUUCCUAUACAGAGUUAGUAUGGAGAUGAUGAAGAGCCUUGUGAUGGUUCUUAUGUGGAAGAAAGGGCAUGUGAGUAGUAUUACAUUUCCCACUCCGAGCAUGAAGAUGAUGUAAAGUAUAACCUUCUUUCUUAUGCACCUUCUAAUGGUUAUGGUGAGAGUGCACAUGUGAGUUGCGAAGAUUCAUAUUCCUCAUCUUGUGGUACUUCUUAUCAAGGUCGAAUUGGUGUGAUUGGUUAUAUUACCUAUAGUAGAGGUCUCUCCAUGGGAAGAAAGAGUGUGCAUCUCCAAAUACUAGGGAUAGGUAUAGUCGGAUUCAUGAUCUUCCUACCCUUUCUAUCUUUAAAGGAGAGCGAGAUCCCGAAGAUUAUCUUGAUUGGGAAUGGAAGUGUGAAAGGAUCUUCAAGGAUUAUGAUAUGAGCGAAGUCGAACAAGCUAUGUAUGCCCUUAAACACAUUCAAGGCCUGACAUUGAGAUGGUGGGAACUUUUAAGAAAGCCCGAUCAAACAUGGAGUGCAUGAGGUAUAUCUAUGUACCAAAGGGGUAUACGAAGCUUUACAAUGUUGAUUUAAGAAGAAACAUUUGCUCAGGAAAGGUAAAUAUUUGUGGGGUUUCGAGAUGCAUCCUUGUUCUUGAUGAUCGGUGGGAUGCCUCGAAAGUUCUUGCUUUUCUCAUGUUUCUUGGAAAGCUAUAAAGUUUCUGAGAGAGCGGAGGUUUCCUUCACCCGAGAUGGGUACUCUGAGGAGGUUUGGUAUGACAUUUUCCCCUUGGAACAUGGACAUUUAUGUUUGGGAACCAAUUGGUUUGCACGACAUAGAGUUCCAAAUGUGCAAAAUUGUCCUAAAAUUGUAAUGGAUCAAUGGUAAAAUCAUCUUUUUCCACCUACCCUUCCCAAAUCUCAAAGAAAUGUGACCACUUACUCCAAGUCUAAUGAAAAUGAGAGACAAAAGAUUGAGAGGAGCAAGGGAGUGCUAGGUGGCAACCUAAGAGAGGAAAAAGAAGAGGCUGAGAGGAGUGAAGUGAGGGGGUUGCCACCAACCUAAUUUAACUUUAUUUGUCCUCUUAGUAAGGACAUGUGUAGGUACAAACAUGGAAAACGAAGGAGAACUAGCCCCAAAAAGGAAGAUUAUCAUUGAAAAUUUGAUGGGGGCAAUUUUAGAUGUUUCCAAAGCUUGUAAGGGAGUUCCACCGCGAGUUAAAGAAGAUAGCUAACUCUUGCACUUUACUAAAUGUGAAUGAUCAUUAUGAGGCUAGUAGCCAAUCGAGUGUGAGUAAUAGCUUGCUUAUAUGUGAGUUUCAUGAUUCUUGCCUCUUGUUGAUGAUGUACAUAUUGAGAGUGUGGAUACACUAGUUGAUCCUAUUGAUGACCCGAUUGACUCUUCUUGUAAGAUCAAUUUGUGUCUACUUAGUGUUGAAGCCAUUGUGUUGAAUGAUAGUAUAUUGUCUUGUGGAAAUGGUGUUGAUCAACUUGUGUGUGAAACUAGUCCACCACUUGAGGAUGUUUGUUAUGUGAUUAAUGAGCUUCAAGUGAGUGGUGAUGUUGAAAAUGUUGGUCAAUUGAAUAGGAGUGAUCCUUUGAGCAUACCCCUUAAUGAAGAUCCUUGUGUUUGUCUUGCUCAUAGGAAUGACUUUGUUUGAAACUUCUUUGAAAGUGAACUUACAUGUUCUUUUGAGAGUGAACUUACAUGUUCCAAAAACAUGAGUUGUCCUUUUGAGAGUGAACUUACAUGUUCUAAUUCUUCUUCGUGGAUUGAUCCUUCUCUCUUUAAGUACAAUAUCAUGUUUGGAGAUGAUGAAAUCAUUCCUAGUGAAUUACCUAGUGGUAUGGAUCAUGUUGAUGAUGUGGUCCUUCUCGAAGGCUGUACUCUAUUUAAUAACCCACUAUGGUGUGAUUGACAUUCCUCCAAUGGAUGAAAAUCUCUUUUUGGAAGAUGAGAGUACUCUUUUGGAAAGGAUUGAUCAAUUGGGUAAUGAUAACUUUGAUUUACUUGAAUGAUUGAGAAACCCAACUAGUGAUUGUUUUUGUGAAAAUAAUGUUGCUUGUGAUCCUUUAUAUGACACCCCACCCUUGUUUGAUAAUUAUGAGGAUGAAUUGCUUGAUUCUUGUGGUGACUUGAGUUAUGAUCCCUUUAAUGUUAGUGGUGGUAUGUGUCUAAUUGAGGAUUUUUCCCUUAAAAAGAAAGUGGUAGUUGUUUGGAAAUUGCUUCUUCUUCUACUUUGUGUGCCUCUAUUGAUGAGAAUACUCAUGGUGAUGAUGUUGAAUCUAAUAGUGAGUAUAUGCUUGAGGACAUCUUAGUUGAAGUUAAUUUGAGUGAUACCUUUCUCUACCCCUCUUUGCUUAUGAAAUUGUCAAUGGUCAUAUAAAGAGGAAGUCUAAUUGUGAAGAUGGCACCUUUGGGGAAAGUGAGUAUUGCCUUGACUCAUGUUUUUGGCUACUUCUCCCAUUUGACCCCGGUGACCUAUUUGAAUGUGGUGAUUUCUAUACACCCGACUUGGUGCUUGGUCAAGAUGACAAGCAAAGUUUGGACGAGGAUAUUGAAAUCCUGCCCUAUGAUGGAAAGUCUCACUUGGGGAUCCAUAAUCCACUUAAAGUACCAAUAUUGUGUAAAGGAAAGAUCUCCAACAAAGAUGAGAGUUCUUUAAAGAAGGGGAGUAAAGAAAAAAUCCAAGAGAGUCACCAUUGUGUGUUUUCAUUCUCGACCAAAGUUUCACUACUUGUAGGUCAAGGUGAGAGUUUUCUCUUGAAAACACUUUGGAUGUAUUUCAUUUAAUUGAUACUCUUCUUUGUGAUUUGUUUGCAAUUGGUGACCCCUUUCUCAAAGGGAGUUGUUUGAAAGGGAAAAGUGCUUUGUACUUAAAUGUCUUGAUUCCAUCCUUGUGUGCGUUAUGUGCUAAAUCUUGUAAGCCAAAUGACAUUCUUAUAGAUAAUAGCACCUUGAAUGAUGGUUUUAUGCUUGAUUCCUUUCUAUACUACCUCUUUACCUAUGAUGAUGUCCAUGUUAGUCUUGAAAUUGUUUUAUUGGGAGGUAGGAAACUUGUUGGUUGGUCCACUUGGUUGAGUAAUAGUGCUUUAUGGGUCGUUCACAUCUUUGACCCCAGAAAACCCUUGUAGAUCUUUGAACCAUUGGUGAUAUCACUUUUGGUAUGGUCUCUUGAAGAGAUAAUGAAGCAAUUGUGUCUUAUGACUCCUAAGAUGAAUGUAGUCUUACCUUCUUGGUUUAUUGAUGCCAGUAUGACCGUUGCGAUUUCCUUAUGGCUUGAUAAUUGUCAUAGCCAAUUCCUUUGUACCAUUUUUAAUAAGCUUUUAAUGUUCAACACAAAGGAUCCUUGAUUAUAUCUGUUAAGUAUCCCACAUUGGAAAAUGGAUGGGUAAUUGGUCUUCUUAUAUGGACUUGGACAAUUCUCCCCUCAUGAGCUAACUUUUGAGGUUGAGUUAGACCCAAGAUCCAUUCUUUACGUGGUAUCAGAGCCUAUGGCUCAAUGAUCCAAUUGUUGAACAAAGUUGCAACCAAUUUGACAAUAGUGAAGAUAUUGUCAAAAUAAAACUAUAUGUGGAGACAAUUAUCAACUAUAUUUUCAAUAAUUCUGCUGUUACAUAUUUAAAAAUAAAGCUCACUUUUAACCCUGCGAAGAGCUCAUAUAUUUUUAACCCAAAAGGGUUCAUAUAUUUUUUACCCAAAAGCUUAAUUUUAAGCAUGCCAAACAGCAGUGAUGAAGAUUAUGAGAAGAACAAAGAUCAAAGAUGUGAAGAAGGCGGAUCAAGUGAGGAAAAUCAUGCCAAAAUGGGGUGAUUUGUUAGAGUUUUUGCCCUGAUUUUCUUACUAAAUUUAAGUUUUAUUUUUCUUAGAAGGAAAAUAAAAGUAAUACCAUAAUUAAUUUUAAUAUUCUGAAAGUAAAACAUAAAAAUUUUUCUUAUUUGUCGAAUCUCUUUCGGAACAAAAUAAAUAGAGGCCCCCUUCUCAUACCAUAACACAAUGACAUCCACAAUGUAGUCGUUAAAAGAGUCUAGUUUAGGGGGAGAUUUCUCUCAUAGGUUUAUGCUUUUUCAAAUAUUAGUUUUUAAUAUGUAGGUCGUUUGACCAACCAUAUCAAUAAUAUUUUUUUAAUAUUAUAUUUUCCGUUGUCGUCUGAUUUAUUGUCUUAUGAUUUGUAAACUUUAAGCUUUCGCAUGACACCCUCUCGAUUUCGAACCCAACAAGUGGUAUCAGAGUCAGGCUAAUCCCAAAUCUUUGUUCACUGAUGUUGGGCCCCUAUAUUAUAUUGUCCACGCACCAGUUAACGAGGCCUGGGCGUGGGGGGAGUGUUAAGUAUUCCACAUCGGAAAAUGGAUGGGUAAUUGGUCUCCUUAUAUGGACUUGGACAAUCCUCCCCUCAUGAGCUAGCUUUUGGGGUUGAGUUAGACCCAAGAUUCAUUCUUUACAAUAUCUUAAUUGUGUGCAACCUUGGCUUGAUGCUAUGAUUAUUUGUGCUAACCCUAACACUCAUGUCAUAGGAUGUUGUGUUUGUUUGUCCUUCCUUUGGUUUUGCAAGGUUUGGAUUUGAGGUUGAAUCCUUUUAAAAAAAGGGAGGAUGAUACAAUCCAAAUUGCCUCCGGAUCUUUGGAUGGGAUACUUAUGGUGCUAGAGGUACUUGAAGACAUCUUCUUGUCAUCAAAACGGUGUCAUGUGAUGGUGAUUGCACCUACAUUUGAUCAAGGGUCCUUGGAGGAAUCGAGGGAAUGCGAGAAUGGGCUAAAAGGCCUCUUGGAAGGGACAUGCGCCCAAUCUGUCUUGGAGGUGCGGCAGACCUGCUCUAGCAGAUCAAGAGCAGGUCAAAACAGUUUCAUCCGCUCUAGAAAUGCCCUUGAUAUGCGCCACAUCUGCCCCAAAGAUGCUAGAGCGGGCUGCCUUGUUUUAUUAAGGCAAAUGGGUCACUUUUGGGCCCAUUGUAAUAAGUUAACUCUAGACUAUAAAUAGAAUAGCUUAGUUCUUUAUUUCAGAAGUUUUGUUUUGGUAAUGAAGAUAGGAAAACUCUUGAGAGAGUGAGUGAUAUCUUGGAAAAGCAUUUGUUGAAUCUUGUUUAGAAUCGGUGUUUGUAAGGGAGUUUCGAUUCCCUUGCGGUCAACGUAAGAGAUUAGGUGCUUGUGGAUAAUUGAUUUGGGGGUUUUUGAGUUUAAUAUACUCAUUAGUUUCUAUUUCUUUCUAUCUUCUUGUGUCUAAUCUAUCUUUAUCAUCCAUCAUUUUAUCCCUUUUCUUUCGGUAUUUCAAUUUCGUCGUUUCUUUAGUUUUUGCGUUUGUUUCUAGUUUUUAUAGUUUGAUCCUUAUCAGUUUCAGUCUGCUCUUUCAAUAGCAAUAAAUAUAGACGUAUCACUUUGCUUAACAAGAAACACACAAAGUCACUUCAGUAGGAAUUUCACUAUUUAGAUAAUUGGAAUAAAUACUUUGUGGUUUUAGCCGUUAACCUGUCCAUCACUUCUUUUAUUGCGUUUAUUUCAUGUAAGAGUUCUAUUGAUUUUUUCCCCUAAAUCUUGGCUCUUACAUAACCUGCUGUGUGUAGCGAUUUUAGCAUCAUAAAUUAUGAGUGUCCACAAGGAGUGGGAUAUUCCUUGCAGAUGUCCCCUGGAUGGUUGCAACCCUGCGAAAUUUGAUAUGUCCAGUACUGACAUAACAAGGAAUAAAAAGCAAAAGAACAUGGUACCAUGAAUUGCUUAACAGGAAAGCCAUAAAGAGGAGAAAAACGUUAAUAAACAUUUUCAAUCAUGGUAUAAGAAAAAUCUUAUAAGGAAUAAUCUCUCCCGCGUGCUAUGCUUUCUCAGGUCCUAUUCUUCUAUUACUGGUUUUGUAGACAAUAUUGCUAGGAAAUUUUCGGUGUGUUGUACUUUGUCCUCAUUUUGCCUCAUCAAGCCUUUCACUAAAUGAUUCCUCUGCCAUUUGUUACUGUUACCGCCCAUCCCAGCCCCGGUAAAGAACCAUAGUGUUCAUAUGGUUGUCAAUCCCCAAGCCAAAGUGAACAAAUACAGAGGCAAGAUUUGUGGUAACAAUCUUGAACAAUUACAUUGAAGUAGCAAUCUCUGCCUAAAAUCUGAUUAAGGCUGUUGAGCAACUAUGCCCUAUCCAGAUACAUCUUUUACAACUUGCAACACACGUAGUUGCUAACCACUUGUAAGUUGAACUAAUAGGUGUGUGAGGCACACAUUAGUGUAGCUGGAAAUGAGUCAUAAAAAUGAUGUACCAUAUCUCUUUCCGUUUUCCAACUACGUCAACGGGAUUUAGUCCAAAAAUGUUUUGUAUUCACCCAACAUUUUGAGCAUGAAUUAUGAUGUUCCCUUUCAUCCCCAUAAGGAUCAUAGCCACUAAUGAAUAUCACUUAGUCCAUUUCAUAUCCACUGGUGCUCCUUUUUCCAGUAGGGAAUCUCUCUCCUCGCACUGUUCUUCUAUUUCAAGUGAGAUAUUUAGAGUGACUCAUGUGAAUAUCAUGUUUUUUCAUGUCAUGCUGCAGCCAUUUAACUGUUUUGCUUUUCAUUAGGUAUUUUUAGAACAAGGAACAUGUGCAGGAAUUGCUGAGCAUAUGCAAGACUAUCAAGUGAUUGCAAUGGUGAUAUUAUUGGGGUAUGUAUAGGUUCGUUUGGUACUUAAAAUAUUCUUCACUUCCCCAUUGCCAUUCCUUUUCUCUUUCCUUGUGUAACUUUUACUUUUUAAGCCAGCAUUCAUCUGUUUUGGAAAAAAGGAAGUUGCUCUGACCUAUCAAUUUAUUUUGUUACUUGUUGGCAGGCCAAAGUUGAAGCAUGUUCAAAACCAAAUCCAGGAAGAUGUGAAGAAAAUAAUGUCUCAGAGUUUACACAUGCCUACAAUUGGUUCGAGACAAUACACUAUUAGACAUAAUGAUCAACGCUUGACCAAACCAAGUUUUCUUGCUUCCUGCAGCGUAUUUGGUCCAAAGGUAUCAUGCAUCAACACCUGAUCCAUCUCUCUAGUUGUCUUGCUGGGGCAGGACCUGUGAAUUUGAAGUCUAGUUGUUUGAGCAUAUCACUUAGGUCUGUGUGCAAAUAAGGCCAAUCAUUUCUCUCAGUAUACCACACCUAUAAAUUUGACACAGUUAUCGAUUAAAUCUAUUAAUUGCUUGUGUACCAUCAGUGGAUCUGAAUCAUUCUCAAAAUCGAUUUUCCGAUGGUACAAGUGGAAUUGAAACCCUGUCGUCAAACCCUAAAAUUGCCUACGAUCACCGAUAACAUGGCCAUGAUGGCCGUUGGCCAGCCUCCGGUGGAGGUUAGGUCAGCAGCACUUACUGCGACUAAAGAACCUGCGAAAGUAAUGUAUGCGAAUACCAUAAAACCACAAUACAAACCUAUACCAUUGAAGCAGAUAACGUAUUUACAUGGGGAGCCAAGAAUUGUUUGGGAAGAGGAGGAGGUCAGUCAAAUGAUUAUUAACAAGGACUUGCAAUAUGCAGUGAUAUGGAAAUUUUCAUAUGGUUGGCCAGAAAUACAAGAUCUCAGGAGGUUAAUCCCUAGGCAAUGUGAAUUGAAAGGGGAAGUGAACAUUGGAUUGCUGAGUAAUAGAUACAUAUUAAUAAGGGUGACGAGGCUGGAUGACUUCGUGAAUCUACUGUCAAAGCCACAGUUUUACAUUACACAACUAUUAGUCACAUCCAAUGCGCACUCUAAACUGGGAUCCAUUGUUUGAUCCAGCGGAUGAAACAUCAAUAGCGAUAACAUGGAUUUUCUUUCCAUCAUUACCAUCAAUUUUCUUGGGAAAGAAGCAGUUUUCUCGUUGGCAGUAGUUGUAGGUAAACCCUUGCAAGUAGAUGUAGCCACACAAAAUAAAACCAGGCCAAGUUGUGCAAGUGUCAAAGCGAAAGUCGACUUAUUAGGGGAAUUUCCAAAGAGGAUUAAUGUGGGUAUGAGAAUGAAAUCAAGAGAAGUCAAGGAAAAGUGGGUGACUAUAAGAUAUGAUUAUGUGCCAAAAAAUUGUAAAACAUGCAAACUUCGGGGACACAAUGCGAAGGAGUGUUUUAUCAUUCAUCCAGAGUUAUACCCUAAAGAGGAGGAAGAAGAAAACAAGGAAAAUAAGGAAGACGAUAAGAAAAAAGGAAAUCUAGCAGGAGAGAAGAAAGAAGGAAAUGACACCACAAAAGAAGAUAAAGGAAAAACAAAGCAAGGAGAAAAUACAGAAUUCCAGGAGCAAAAGAGGAAAAAAGGGUCCAGAAAAGGAAGACAGAAUCAUAGAGGAAGAAUGGAGAUGAGAUGGAAUUUGAGACCCUAAAAUAAGGAGCAAGAAGUUUUGACUGGUAAUAAAUUUGGGGCAUUGGAAGAGAACAUAAGGGGUGUUUGGAUGAGCGUUUUUUUUUAAGUGACUUAAAAGCUAAAAGCAAAAAACCUACUUUUGGCCUUUUUUCUUUAUACUUUUUAAGCCUAAAGUAAAGUGCUUAAAAGCAUUUUUUAUUUUUGCCAAACACCUCCAAAAAUAAAAAAAGUGUUUAAAAGCCAAAAACACUUAAAAAUAAGCCAAUCCAAACAUCUUCAUAGAAGGGGAUAAAGAGGAAAUGAUGGAGAAAGAGAGAGUAACAGAAAUCAAGAAAAAUACUAAAGAUAAAGAGGCAAACAAAGAGGAUAAGGACAGAGACAUGGAGAAGGACUCUGUCAGUUCUAUGGGAUCCAACAGUAAAAGCAAACAAAAUGAAACACAAGGGUCAGUUGUGAAGAAUACACCCUAUGAAGAGAAGGUGAAUACCUUAGUACAAUUACAGUAGUCACCGGAGAAGUCAUCACAAGGUGUAGUGGACAUGCAAGAGAGAACAAUUCAGAUCAAACACAGAAGACACCAGAAAAGGCAACACAAGAUGAAGUGGAACUGGCAAGGGAGGAGGAAAUAAAGUCACCACUAUUUAUAUGACAGUGACAGGACAAUAUGAAUAUAGAAUAGAUGAAGGAGGAGGAGAAUCAGGGACUGAGAUUCCUUAAAUUAACACAUAUACUAAUCAAGAAAUCAAAGAUAAGUAAAGCACAAAUGACAAUAUGGAAGUUAAUGUAGAAGAAGUGAGACUUGUCGCCAAGGCAAAUAGGGCAGCUCAGAGGAAAGAAUAUAAAGGGGUCAAAACCUACAUUGCCCCAGUCACAAAUGAAUACAAGGAGGAAGAAGGUUUCAUCUUUUACCUCUGAUCAAUGAUUAACAAGGUAUUUUUUUGGAAUAUCAGGUCUGUGAGGACUCAAAAUGCUUUUGAGAAACUAAUGGAUCUGUAUAGGAGACAUCAUUACUCUUACAUUGCUAUAUUCGAACCUUUUCAAAGCCCAAGUGAAUAGGAGAAUUAUAGAAGAAAAUUGGGGAUGCUUAAUGCUAGAGUCAAUUCUUUUGCAAAAAUAUGGAUUUUUUGGGAAGAUUAUCGGGAGGAAAAAGACUGUAUAAAUACAAUUCAACAGAUUACAAUGACCUUUCAACUAAGGGGAGGAGCUGUGUUUCAGGGUGACACCAGUGUAUGCAAGAUGCAAUGCUUUAGAAAGGCUGGAGCUUUGGGAUGAUUUGGAAAUUGUUGCAGAUCAAACUAGCAUUCCUUGGUGGUAGGAGGAGAUUUCAACACUAUUGCAGAUGAGUCACAGAAAUUGGGAGGCUUAUCAGUUGCUCAGCAAGAAACUACAGAUUUUACAUACUGCAUGAACGCUUGUUCUCUAAAUAAACUAAAAUUCACCGGAAGUUGCUAUACAUGGUGGAAUGGUAGAAUUGCAGAGGAAAGCAUCUUCAAAAGGCUUGAUGGAGUUUUGGGAACAAUGAGUUUAUGCAAAAACUCCCCAACAGUGAGGUGCACCAUUUGAUUAGACAAGGGUCAGAUCAUGCGACGCUGCAUGAGUUAUGCAAUACAUCAGAGGAACAGGUGCUUAAGCCUUUCAAAUUUUUGAAUUUCCGGGCAAAACAUAAAGAUUUCAUUAAAGUGGUGGAGGAAAACUGGAAUGAAGAGGUGAAAUGAGGAAAACCGGAAUGAAGAGGUGACGUGGUCUCCAUUUACUAUUGUGCAUUCCAAAAUGAAGAAGGUCAAAACUAAUUUGGCACAGUGGAGUAAAAAGACCUGUGGGAAUAUUUUUUAGAGAAUAGCCACUUUGGAGGACAUUGUUAAAUCCAAGGUAGUGCAAUUAGAAGUGGCACCUACGGAGAAAAAUAGAAGUGAGCUUAAGCUUGCAGAAGCUAACUUGAAGAGAUUUUUGAACAUGGAGGAGGAAUAUUGAAGGCAGAAAGCUGGAAUGAAAUGGCUCAUUUCAUGCCUAUGUGAAAGAAAGAAGGAGAAAGAUGCAGAUUAAUGAAAUUCAAACAAUGCAAGGGGACAUGAUCAGCACCUUGCGAACAUUGGAGAAGAAGCUGUUAAUGCCUUUAAGGAGCAGUUCAAGGAAAACGUGGAGGCAAGCAACUAUGACAUGCUCAAAUGUAUCCCGCAAUUGAUUAAGGGGAGGAGAAUGAAGAAAUGGGGAGCAUGCCAACCAUAGAGGAGGUUAAAGAGGUGGUUUUUUCACUAAAUUCUGAUAGUGCUAGUGGACCUAAUGGUUUCUCAAGGCAGUUUUUUCAAUCAAGUUGGGAGAUCAUUGGUAAUGACAUACUAAUAUGGUAAAGGCAUUCUUUUGUGGGUGUGAAUUACCAAGGUAUGUGACUCACACUAAUCUGGUACUUAUUCCUAAAAAAGAGGUGGUCUAGAAGUUUGGUGACCUGAGACCUAUUAGCCUAAGCACCUUUACUAAUAAGAUUAUUUCAAGAGUGCUUCAUGAAAGGAUAGUUAAGCUGCUGCCUAGGCUAAUAUCACAAAACCAUCUGGUUUUGUGAAGGGCAAGAGUAUCACAGAAAAUGUGUUGCUAGCACAAAAGAUUAUAAGGGACAUUAACAGGAGGAAUAAGAUACACAAUGUAGUGGUAAAAUUGAACAUGGCUAAGGCAUAUGAUAGAGUCUCAUAAAAGUUCCUGGUUAAGUUAAUGAAGAGCUUUGGAUUUAUCAUAGAAGAUCAUUGAUUUGAUAGUGAGGCUUAUAAGCUGUAACUGGUAUUCAGUUUUUAUGAAUGGACAAUCAUUUUUUUUUUUCCAAUCAUCCAGAGGCCUCAAACUGAUCCUUUAUCACCUACCUUUUUUAUUAUUGCAGCAGAGGUUCUUGCAAGGAAUUUGAAUGAGCUUUUUGAAGAUCCUGAGUACAAAGGGUAUGGUUUGCCUAAAUGGAGUCCAAAAAUCAAUCAUUUAUCCUAUGCAGUUGAUACCAUUUUAUUUUGUUCAGGCCAUUUGACCUCCAUGAAGUAAAUGAUGAAAGUAUUGAGAGAAUAUGAGAUAGUAUUAGGACAAAUGAUUAAUUUAGAGAAGAGUUCUGUAUAUCUACAUGAAAAAGUUUCAAUUGGAGUAAGCAAUCAAAUAAAAAGGAUUGCAGGAGUAAAACAAGGAUCCUUUCCUUUUUUCUACCUUGGAUGCCCUUUGUUUUAUGGGAGAAAGAAUAAAAGACAUUUUGAAUAACUGAUCAAGAAAGUUAUGAAAAGGCUGAGUUUGUGGCAGAAUAAACUUUUGUCAUUUGGAGGUAGGUAUAUCGUGAUAACACAUGUAUUACAAUCUAUGCCUGUCUACCUAUUGUCAGCAUUGAAUCCUCCCAGCAUGUGUUAUAAACGAGUUGCAUAAAAUUUUUGCUCGAUUUUCCUGAGCAAAUGCUACUCGUUCAAGAAACAAUCAUUGAGUUUCAUGGGAAACAUGUGCUAUCAUAGGGAAGGAGGAAUAGGGUUCAGAUCAUUACGUGUAGUCUCAAAGGCUUUCUUUGUUAAGUUAUGGCGGAAUUUCAGAGUCUCCACAUCAUAGUGGAAUAAAUAUUAAAAGAAAAUGUCACCCUAUAAUGGUGAGAGGCUUUGGAGCCUCUCAUGUGUGGAGGCAAAUGGUUGAAGUUAUAGAGGAGGUGGAACACAACAUAUGAUGGCAGGUGAAAGCAAGCAUCUCUAGUUUCUGGUUUGAUAAAUGGACCAAACAUGGAGCCCUUUACCAUGUAGAGGGGGACAAUGUAGUUAAGGAGGAACUGGAGUUAAGGGAGUCUUGUAGAGAGGGAAGAUGGGACGAAGUGAAACUAAGGAGUAAGCUGUCAGAGAAGAUGACAAAUCACAUCCUGGAAAAUAUAAAGCCUCUCACAGAGUUGGAGACAAAUGAUACACCUUGGUGGAUGGGGAAUUCUCAAGAAAAAUUUACAGUCAAGGCGUCAUGGGAAAUCAUGAGUCAAAAGUAAGAACAGAAAGAAGAGUACAAGCAGAUUUGGGUUAAAGGGUUACCUUUAAUGAUAAACAUUUUCAUGUGGAAGGCUUGGAAGGGAAGGAUGGCCACAUUUGAUAACAUGAAAAGAAUGAGAAUCAAUAUUGUAUCUAGAUGCUGGUGCUGUGAGGAGAAAGAUGAGGAGACAAUGGCCCACUUAUUUCUAACAACCCCCAUAGCCACUAGACUAUGGAGGCAGUUUGCUAUUUUUGCAGGAAUAGACAUUGAAGACAUGCAUUUGCAGCAAAUCAUCUCCACCUGGUGGACAAUGAAUGCAACACUAAAACUAGAGGCAGUAUACAAAGCUAUCCCAGCAAUCAUAAUGUGGACCAUAUGGAAGAGAAAAAAAUGCAAUAAAGCAUGGUGGGAAAGUAACAUGUAUGGAAAUGGUAUGGCAGGCUCAGGAUCUAAUUAGAAAGCUGAUAAAAUGUUACAUCCCUGGAUUAGGAUAGGAAAGGAGUGUUGGCCUCACAUUGUUAUUAAGUUGAGGGAAUACAAGCCAAAAUUACACUAUUAAAGUGUCAUAACAAGCUCAAAUGUAACACAGAUGGUGCAAGUAGAGGCAGUCCAGGAUUGAGUGCCUUUGCCUUCUACAUUAGAGAUGAAAAUGGUCAUAUGGUCCUUGCUAGAGCUAAAGGAAUAGGAGUUGCCACACACACAGUAGCAGAAAUGAAGGCUAUUCAGGAGGCUUUGUAAUUCAAACAAGAGGAGCUAGGGAAGUAACUUUAGAGACAGAUUCUCUUAACUCUAAAGAGUGAUAGACAGACGGGUGGAAAGAGCCAUGGGAACUAAUUGAUCAUAUAGAAGAUAUAAGGUACAGACUACAGUUAACCCAAGCACAAAUCAAGCACACAUUCAGAGAAAGGAACACAGUAGCAGAUGCAUAGGCAAAUGAAGUAAUUGCUACACAAAACUCGGUGGACUAUCAUAGUUUCUAUGAGUUAUCAACAACAAUUAGAAAGCAAAUAAACAUGGAUAAGACUCAAAUCCUCAAUUUCAGGAUUCAGGCAAGGAAAAUUAACACUAAAGCAUAAAAAGAGAAGCAUGCAUAGGAUUGAGAAGCAGUCACACAGCAUAAAAAGAGCUACAACGGAUCCCGAUAAUUACAAUGCCAUGGGAAUCAGGAAUAAACAUGAGCACAAAGAUAAGUCUAGCUAAGUCUAGCUAGAUGCCCUACCUGGCAAAAACCUUCACCAAAAAAAGGGAUAGAUGGAGCUUCCCUCCACAGCAACUAAGUCUUGACAGCGACAUGAAAGAGAAUAGCAAUGACACAACAAUAUUUGCAUAAAGCAAGACACAAUUCAGAGAUUGAAGAGUUAAAAUAUGAGGAAGUGGACAAAAGAGGAGAAACAGUAGGUGUUUGGAUUGACUAAUUUUUAGGUGCUUUUAGCUUUUAAGCACUUUUUCAGUUUUGGUGGUGUUUGGCAAAGUAAAAAAGUGCUUUUAAGCACUUAUUUUUAAGUCAAAAAGUGUCAAAAUAAGCCACAAGCCAAAAGCCAAAAGCCAAAAGCCAAAAGUAGGGUAGUACCAACUUAUGGCUUUUGGCUUUUCGCUUAUAAGCUCCUUAUUAAAAGCCAAUCCAAACAGGCCCAUAAUCGACUUACGAAGCUUCAAGAAUCUGAACAUUGACAUCACAUUACUUCAGUACCUUGGGGAUAAACCCUGACCACCUGAAAAGAAGAGCAGAGGGUCAGAUCUGAGCUACAAAAGCAAAUUGAGAGGAGAGAAAGUGAGCUCACCAGAUGCAAGUGAAGAUGAUAGACAGAGCAUAACCAUCAGUAAGCAAGGAUGGAGCUUGAAGAUGAUACAAAGGAGGUACAAGAUGAACUGCCGAUUCAAGCUUGGAUGGCACAUCCCACAAAGGCGGCGAUGAAGAGUACCGAGUACUCUUGGACAACAAUGAAUAUUUUUACUACUUUUAGGAAACUUUUCGCAUUCCUUUUCUUUGAACUGGGUUAUUUAUUGGAUCCGGAUCUUU
rnacentral:lncRNA from 1 species